AUUUUAUUACAUUUCAAAAGACAAUAGCAGAAAAGAACAUGAUGGAGUUACACAUAAUAAAAUGCAUAGGGCAAUAUAAAAUAUGCAAAAACUGCAUUAUGGCCUCUUUUGGCUCCGGACAAGCAAUGGACAGUCAAGUCCACUCCACAGAAUAGUCCUCCUUAGUGGAAACUUCCCCAAAGGUUACUCUUUCGUACUGUGAACAUCACAGACCAAUAAAGCUAUAUUUCUCUCGGAGUUCAAG